GUAAUUAAAUGGUUGAAACGCUUGAUAUAUAUGAGUUUGUUCCUGUUUAGGUCGACACUGGGAAGUAAAUUACAGUUUCCUAAACUGUAGGUCGGAGGUUCGAAUCCUCUUCGGG
rnacentral:tRNA from 1 species